rnacentral:rRNA from 1 species
UACGAAGGGGACUAGCGUUGUUCGGAUUUACUGGGCGUAAAGCGCGCGUAGGCGGAUCGCUAAGUCAGGGGUGAAAUCCCAGGGCUCAACCCUGGAACUGCCUUUGAUACUGACGAUCUGGAGAUCGGGAGAGGUUGGUGGAAUUCCCAGUGUAGAGGUGAAAUUCGUAGAUAUUGGGAAGAACACCAGUGGCAAAGGCGGCUAACUGGUCCAGAUCUGACGCUGAGGUGCGAAAGCGUGGGGAGCAAACAGG